GACGAACGCUGGCGGCGUGCUUAACACAUGCAAGUCGAACGGAAAGGCCUCUUUCGGGGGGUACUCGAGUGGCGAACGGGUGAGUAACACGUGAGUAACCUGCCCUUUACUUUGGGAUAACUUCAGGAAACUGGGGCUAAUACCGGAUAGGAGCUCCUGCUGCAUGGUGGGGGUUGGAAAGUUUCGGCGGUUGGGGAUGGACUCGCGGCGUAUCAGCUUGUUGGUGGGGUAGUGGCUUACCAAGGCUUUGACGGGUAGCCGGCCUGAGAGGGUGACCGGCCACAUUGGGACUGAGAUACGGCCCAGACUCCUACGGGAGGCAGCAGGGGGGAAUAUUGCACAAUGGGUGGAAGCCUGAUGCAGCAACGCCGUGUGCGGGAUGACGGCCUUCGGGUUGUAAACCGCUUUCGCUCAUGACGAAGCUUUGUGUGACGGUAGUGGGUAAAGAAGCACCGGCUAACUACGUG
rnacentral:rRNA from 1 species